rnacentral:rRNA from 1 species
UACGUAGGGGGCAAGCGUUGUCCGGAUUUAUUGGGCGUAAAGAGCGUGUAGGCGGCUAGAUAGGUCCGUUGUGAAAACUCGAGGCUCAACCUCGAGACGUCGAUGGAAACCAUCUGGCUAGAGUCCGGAAGAGGAGAGUGGAAUUCCUGGUGUAGCGGUGAAAUGCGCAGAUAUCAGGAAGAACACCUAUGGCGAAGGCAGCUCUCUGGGACGGUACUGACGCUGAGACGCGAAAGCGUGGGGAGCAAACGGG